AGCGAACGUUAGCGGCGGGCCUAACACAUGCAAGUCGAACGAGAAAAUCCCUUCGGGGGUGAGUACAGUGGCGCACGGGUGAGGAACGCGUAGGUAAUCUACCCUUUGGCGGGGGACAACAUUCCGAAAGGAAUGCUAAUACCGCGUAAGACCACGCCCACUACGGUGGAGGUGGUAAAAGGUGCCUCAAAGCACCACCAAAGGAUGAGCCUGCGUCCCAUCAGCUUGUUGGUAAGGUAAUGGCUUACCAAGGCUAAGACGGGUAGCUGGUCUGAGAGGAUGAUCAGCCACACUGGCACUGGAACACGGGCCAGACUCCUACGGGAGGCAGCAGUGAGGAAUAUUGGGCAAUNGGCGCAAGCCUGACCCAGCCACGCCGCGUGUGUGAUGAAGGCCUUCGGGUCGUAAAGCACUGUGGGGAGAGACGAAACAGCGCGCCAGGAAAUGGGUGCGCCUUGACGGUACCUCCUUAGCAAGCACCGGCUAACUACGUGCCAGCAGCCGCGGUAAUACAGAGGGUGCAAACGUUGCUCGGAU
rnacentral:rRNA from 1 species